AUCAAUUAUCUGGUAUGAUAGAUGACAAGCAAGGAACGAAACAGAUGGAAAGAGGGGAUGGACAACAAAUUUACUUCAGUAGGAAGUGCAUUUCAGUGAAGAAGACAGAUACAAAAAUCCUGUGGUGAUUAGGAAAGACACACGGAUAUUAUAGAACUUAGCAGGAAAAACAAACCUCUUUAUCAAUUACAUUAUAGAAACCAGCCUGGGGUGAAUGUAGACAUCGGUAGCCCCAGGAAUUU
rnacentral:lncRNA from 1 species